rnacentral:rRNA from 1 species
CCUACGGGAGGCAGCAGUGAGGAAUAUUGGUCAAUGGACGAGAGUCUGAACCAGCCAAGUAGCGUGAAGGAUGACUGCCCUAUGGGUUGUAAACUUCUUUUAUAUGGGAAUAAAAUGUUCCACGUGUGGGGUUUUGUAUGUACCCUAUGAAUAAGGAUCGGCUAACUCCGUGCCAGCAGCCGCGGUAAUACGGAGGAUCCGAGCGUUAUCCGGAUUUAUUGGGGUUAAAGGGAGCGUAGGUGGAUUGUUAAGUCAGUUGUGAAAGUUUGCGGCUCAACCGUAACAUUGCAGUUGAAACUGGCAGGCUUGAGUACAGUAGAGGUAGGCGGAAUUCGUGGUGUAGCGGUGAAAUGCUUAGAUAGCACGAAGAACUCCGAUUGCGAAGGCAGCUCACUGGACUGCAACUGACACUGAGGCUCGAAGGUGUGGGUAUCGAACAGGAUUAGAUACCCGUGUAGUC